rnacentral:lncRNA from 1 species
AAUGUGUGAGUAUAAUUGAAUGAUUAUGUAGCAGUAAAAUUAACAAAUAUUUUUAGAAAUGCAUGUGACACCCGUUUGGAUGGCAAACUAUGAAAUAUUUUAGAAAUUACUAACAAUAAUAAGUGCUACAGCAACAACUUUUCAAAAUAAAGUGCUCUGAUGUACUGUGCUUCAAAAAUCCAAACUUGGGCCUUUUUUGUGUAAUUAUAGAUCCAACUGGUAAACCUCCUUUUUUUUUGACCCGGGCCAUAACCCCUUUCCAUUAAAAGCAUAACGGAAAUACAAAGUUCACCGCAUACGACCCAACAUAAACGACUACAGCAUAAGGAAACUAGAAAGGGGUAAGGCGAGAUCAAAGCAUCACUGGGAAACCCACUAUGAGCACCCGUCAUCGAGCAGCUCAUCGCGGGGCGAAAACCCAGUGACACCUAGCAUCACACAAAACCUCUAGACCUAACAGAACCAGGCAAACUCCAACAGGAGCUAUAACAGUCCAACACCACCAUGCCCACGGGCAAACUAACAGAACCAGGCAAACUCCAACAGGAGCUAUAACAGUCCAACACCACCAUGCCCACGGGCAAACUCAAGGGAGACCAAAAACACUCGCGCAGGAGUGGAGUUAACCAAACUAGGCAGACAUAUCGAUGAAGUUUCUUAGAUGGUGCAGCAGCAUCAGUUCGUCGUUGACGGUGGUGCACAGAUCCUCAUCAUCGCCGACGCGUUCGACCUCAGCAUCUUGGCUCCACGCUCCAUGGACUCCCGGUCCUCACCAGCCAUCAAACCUGCCCAGUAUGUCAAAAAACCACAAGCAGCAUACACCACAUUAAAAGGACUUUUAAGAGACUUGUGCUCAAAGGUAGCCUGAUUGCGACUGAUCCAAAUCGCCCAGCACAUAGCUGCCAAACCAAAAGUAUAAAAUUUAGCCCCAUCAGGAAGGAAGAUGUAACACCAGGAGAAAUACUGCCAAAGGUUGUUUGGGCACAACGAUGUGCCAAAAACACACCCAACUGUCCUCCACACCACCCUAGCCACAGGACAAGUGAAAAAGAGAUGUUGUGAGGUUUCCACUUCAUUACAAAACGAGCAUUUAGGAUUUCCUGCCCAUUUUCGCCUUCUCAUGACAUCUCGAGUCAAAACCGCAUCUUGGAAUAGUUGCCAGAGAAAAAUCUGAAUUUUUAAAGGGAUUUUUGCUUUCCAUAUCCACCUGAAAUCACAUCCUGCCAGAUUUCUCUCCAGAUAGGAAUAUACCGAUUUGGUCGAGAAUUUACCUUUACUCCCCAAUCUCCAUCGAAUGCCAUCUGUCUCAUCGGAAAGAUGCCAAGAGUUAACCACCCCAACCAGAUCGUUCCACUGAUCCAUAAGAGGCGGGUGGAGGUUCCUUCUAAAAAGGUCAUCACCCUCAAAUUUUUUGAAGUCAGCAACUGUAAUUUCCUGAUAAUUACAGAUACUGAACAGGGCCAGGAAUUUACAACGCAAGGGAGCAGCACCCCUAAUUGGAUCAUUCCAUACCCUGGCAACAAAAUCUCCCUGACAACAAAAUCUACUUAUCUAAGCGCUCCAGCAUUCCUCAUAGGGCCUGGAACUUCAUCGAUCUUGUGUAACUAAUAUUCGGCCAGGGCAGAUUACAAGUAAGUAACUAUUGUACUUAUCAGAUAAAUUUACAAGAGUUACACUGCAGCAACAGUAGAAUUUACAAGAUUCAGAAACUGCAAAGCAAAGCCAGGGAAGAACAAAGGGUAGACGAGGGGGAUCUGGCAGCUGACCACAAAGAGGAGAUGGGGAACCGGCAGCACAGGAGGAGGGGUCUGGUGGGAGGCACGCCGGAGCACGGGAAGAGGAGGAGGAGCGGCGGCGGACGGGGAGCGACAGGCCAUGGCGGCCAUGGGCAAGGGGAGAUGCGGCAACCCUCUGGUCAUGGGGUGGCAGAGGAGAUGGCGAGGGGAUGAGGAGAAGGUUCGGCGGAGGGAUUGAGGAGGAGUAAUGGCGGCGGGGAUGAGGAGGAGGGCCAACAAGGGAGGUUACCUGGCGGCGCCGUCGGGGUGUUCCUCGGCGUCGCCUCCUCUAGGCGUGCGGGGUGGGGAUGGCUGCUUCGGUCAAAGCGGGGGAUAAAAGACGGGCUCGAAACGUUUUCUUUUGCG